GUGUACACAGAGCCGAGACUUCGCCUCCUGAAUGAAUGAGGAGACAAAGACAGAUGAGCGGGUUAUGGAAAGAGCUCUUCAGUGUAAAAGGCAGUGAUGCCAGAGGGACAAGUGUUUCAGUGUGCCAGGAUAAUCAACGCUUGCUGAGCGUUCAGACGGGACAUUCUGCGAUUUAACGUUUGCAAGAUGUGGCACGACGUCUCUGGAACACACCGCGAAAAAGACAGAACCGACGCUCAUUUUUCAC